rfam:Carnobacterium inhibens subsp. gilichinskyi strain WN1359, complete genome.
AGAUUUCUGAGAUGUUCGUCUUGCUCAACAUGUGUUGACCGAACAAUUAAUAUUACCUUGGGAUCCAACCUGAUUCAAACGGAUAACAUGCCUUUUCACUUGGUAGUUAGAAGCUUGACAGCGGAGCCCACCUGCUAACUGCGGGUUCAAUACUAACUGAGCAUAAUAACGGCAUCAUCGGAUUUCUC